rnacentral:misc_RNA from 1 species
GAUGAAGAACGUAGCGAAAUGCGAUAAGUAAUGUGAAUUGCAGAAUUCAGUGAAUCAUCGAAUCUUUGAACGCACAUUGCGCCCGCCAGUAUUCUGGCGGGCAUGCCUGUUCGAGCGUCAUUUCAACCCUCAGGCCCCCAGUGCCUGGCGUUGGGGAUCGGCGUGGGCGGCGACGGCUCUCCGGAGCCCGAGCCAAUGCCUGCCGGCCCCGAAAUUCAGUGGCGGUCUCGCCGCAGCUUCCAUUGCGUAGUAGCUAACACCUCGCAACUGGAGAGCGGCGCGGCCACGCCGUAAAACACCCAACUUCUGAAUGUUGACCUCGAAUCAGGUAGGAAUACCCGCUGAACUUAAGCAUAUCAAUAAGCGGAGGA